rnacentral:rRNA from 1 species
AGUGAACGCUGGCGGCGUGCUUAACACAUGCAAGUCGAACGAGAACGGGUUAUAGCUUGCUAUAAUUGUCAGCUAAGUGGCGCACGGGUGAGUAAUGUAUAGGUAAUAUGCCUCUUACUAAGGGAUAACAAAUGGAAACGUUUGCUAAUACCUUAUACUCCUUAUUAACAUAAGUUAAUAAGGUAAAGAUUUAUUGGUAAGAGAUUAGCCUGUAUUGUAUCAGUUAGUUGGUGGGGUAAUGGCUUACCAAGACUAUGACACAUAACUGGUUUGAGAGGAUGAUCAGUCACACUGGAACUGAGACACGGUCCAGACUCCUACGGGAGGCAGCAGUGGGGAAUAUUGCACAAUGGACGAAAGUCUGAUGCAGCAACGCCGCGUGGAGGAUGACACAUUUCGGUGCGUAAACUCCUUUUAUAUGAGAAGAUGAUGACGGUAUUAUAUGAAUAAGCACCGGCUAACUCUGUGCCAGCAGCCGCCGUAA